rnacentral:rRNA from 1 species
UAAGUCAGCCACGAAUAGGCUAUCCCAACUAACGGCGGGAAAGACUCCAUGGAGGGUGUAAGACCCGUGUGGGCGCGUGUUAAAGCUGUGCGGGCUCGGCCUCUUUUCCCUGAGAGUCGCGUUGCUUGAGCAUGCAGCGCUAAGCAGGUCGUAAACUCGAUCUAAGGCUAAAUAUGUCCACAGAACCGAUAGCGAACAAGUACCGUGAGGGAAAGUUGAAAAGCACUCUGGAGAGAGAGUCAAAAGACCGUGAAACCGCUCAGAGUAUAAGCCCAUGGCAGCUUGGAAGGCAUAUCGAAAGCGGGGCAUCGGUCUUCCUUCGCGGGGAGCCGGUGUUACCUUGCGUCUGUUGUGGCUCGUCAAGGUAGGGGGGUCAGGUCCACAUCCCGCCAUCGUGUGGGGGGUUCUUGGGUGUGUUGUGGUUUGUCGGUUGGCUUCGGCUUUCAGGCGGGCUCUUCGUGCUCGGUUCCUCUUUAGACACGGACGUUCAGACUCAGAUGCAAGACGCGAUAAACAGCCCACCACGGCACGUUGUGAGGUCACCCACAGGCUCGACUUUUGAUUGUGAGCCUUGACGCUGAGCAAGCACUAUGCGUGUCGCUGAGGUUCCUAACCAGGCAACAGAGCCAGGAUCGUGGAACGACACGCGCUCAACAGUCAGGUUCGGGCGGAGACAGAGUUCUGGUAUGAUCCUCUUGCGACGAGCCGGCUUCUGGCCAACAUCCGAUGCUCAGGUCUCCCGCAUGUGCCGCGGGAGAUCGCCUUGACGGUCUGGA